rnacentral:rRNA from 1 species
UACGUAGGCGGCGCUGUCAGUCGGGUGUGAAAGCCCUCGGCUCAACCGAGGAAUUGCGCCCGAUACUGCAGUGCUUGAGGGAGACAGAGGUAAGCGGAACUGAUGGUGGAGCGGUGAAAUGCGUUGAUAUCAUCAGGAACACCAGUGGCGAAAGCGGCUUACUGGGUCUCUUCUGACGCUGAGGUACGAAAGCUAGGGGAGCGAAGG